rnacentral:tmRNA from 1 species
GGGGGUGACAGGUCUCGACUUAAGAGAAUUGUGUAUAGGUUGCAUGCCGCGGAUGCAAGGUCGGCCGCGUUAACAAUCCUUGCAAAAAUAAACGCAAACAGAGUAACAUCUGAAUCGGUAUUUCCGAUGAGAGCAGCAAUGCUCCCAGCGGGUGUACCGAUGAGCGCAGCCCUGCCCUGGUAAAAGGGUAGGCCUCAAGCUGAUCAGCCUAAGGGUCAGCAUUGAGCAUUAAUUAGGCUAGUUUCCUGUUGGGCCUUUGAGCAGGGAGCGAAAAUUUAGAAGGCUGCUGUUUGCAGGCCCUGUCCCGGAAGGAGCUGCAAAAGUAAGAUUAAAUACGGGACUAAGCAUGUAGUAGCUUAUACGUAAUUACUUAAGGACCGGGGUUCAAUUCCCCGCACCUCCACCA